AUACUUACCUGGUGGGGGAGAUACCAUGAUCAUGAAGGUGGUUUUCCCAGGGUGAGGCUCACCCAUUGCACUCCAGUUGUGCUGACCCCUGUGAUUUCCCCAAAUGUGGAAAACUCGACUGCAUAAUUUGAGGUAGUGUGGGACUGUGUUUGCACUUUCCUCUG